rnacentral:rRNA from 1 species
CAUAAACCAAGACAGCAUCAAACCCGGUGCCGGCCAAAACACUACAAGCAAAGACUUAAAAUUUAAAGGACUUGACGGUGUUGCAAACCGACCUAGAGGAGCCUGUCCUAUAAUCGAUAACCCACGCUUCACCUCACCCCCCCUCGCCCACUCAGCCUAUAUACCGCCGUCGAAAGCCCGCCUCUUGAGAGUCCAACAGCGAGCAGAAUAGCCAAACCACUAAAACGUCAGGUCAAGGUGUAGCUAAUGGGGCGGACACAAGAUGGGCUACAUUUCCUACCUAGGGCCCACCAUAAACCUAAUGGAAACAGGAUAAAAAGCCGGAUUUAGCAGUAAAUAUGGCCAGAUAACCAAAUUGAAACACGCGCUG